AAUAAUAAUGAUAAUGACAAUGACUCACUAAUGACACAACAUUCUCAAGAAAGUUCAGAUGAUAGAAUAGGUAUAAUGGACGAAAAUAGUAUCAUAAACACUGAAGCAAACCAAAUAGUUAUUUCACGAGGUAAAGGAAAACCCCAAUUCAAAAAGAUCUUUAAUAAAAACAGAAUAAUUUUCAAAUACAGAGACGCACGUGACAUUGGAAACAACGUAGAAGAAAUACGAGAGUAUUUGAAACCUGAUACUGUGUACGGUAUAGUAUUUUCAAAUAAAAGUCCAUUGUUUGAAGCUCUAAAAACAGAAAUUAUAUGUUCAAUGACUAAUGAAAUUGUCAAAAUAGUUUCCAACAUAAAAUUCCGAAUCUACAAAAGAAUAAACGCCGACAUAACUGAUGUAGAUGAACAGACAAUGAUAAUAGCUCGAUGUCAUGAAGACAAAAACUUCCACAGAGGAAUAUUAACGAGAAUUAUAAACAAAUACGUAAAAACUACUAUUGGCCCGCAAUGCACAUAAAGACGUAACCGAAUUUGUAAAUAAAUGUGAAAUCUGUUUGAAAACCAAGUAUGAAAGAAACCCAAUUAAAACUAAAUUCAAAGUAACUCCCACACCUACUAAACCUUUCGAAAAACUUCAGAUUGACACUUUCACGUAUAAUAAUAUUAAAAUCCUCACAAUUGUCGAUUCGUUUUCUAAAAGACUUUCCGCCUACACAUUGAAAUCAGCUAACAGUAUCGAAAUAAUAAAAAAUCUAAACAACUAUCUUCCAGUUUUCCCAAU